UCUGGCCCCGCGCGACCGGCCAGGCCUCCAAGGUCUCCCAAACAAACGCGCCAACCAAUCGACGGGCCCGGCCUGCCCACACCUCCGAAGCGGCGUAGAGACGACUGCGCAGGCGCCUAUGGCAGGCAAGAGGAGGCGCGUUCCCUGUCGGAGGGGCGAAAGAGAGCUUUGAUUGGUCGUCCCGAGUCGCUUCCGCUGGUUGGCUUCAAAAAGGAGAGCGGGGGAAAUUGAAAGAGAAGAGGAGGGACCGGUCGUAGGAACAGAGGACCGCGAAUAAAAAUGUUUCACCUACCAGAACAUGUGAAAGGGAGUGGCAACUCUGUUGUGAUCCAGGAUCUGCUCUGCUUGUGAUUCUAAAUGCUCCGACUGGAUCCGAGUAAUUUUCAACAAUCCAUCACUGUCCUCUUUAACAUUCAGUUUGUGGAUCCUUUGAAAGGGCCUCAGGGACUCCCAGAGCACACUCGAGAUCUGCUAUAAGACGUUCAAGACAACAUUUCUAGACAUUUUACAAAAUAUAAAGAUUGCUGGCAUUGCUAGAACUAUCCAUGGUAAGAAUGAUGUUUCUCUUUUGACUGAAGAAACACCGCUGACAUGGAGGUUGCCGCGUUAAUGUUGGAAGAAAGUCCUGGUCUGCCACAGAUUAGAGCAUGUGACUGAAACAAUGCUACUGACGGUGUAGUGAAGAAGAUGGCAAAGCAAUGGAUCUCCCCAUCCCACUCUGCAAAUUACCUUCCUUCCAUUAACCAGUAAUGCUAAUGAUCACCUUACGGUUAUUUUGCAACAGGCUCCCUUUCCAAACAAUUAAUCCCUAGUCGUAAAUUGAAGACACAGUAAAGAAACAUGUCAGUUAAAAGGUUUGGGAUGGGUAGGGUAAGAUAUUUUUUAUUUGAAAGGAGAACCAUAGCAUUCCAGAUAUAGUUUUGUUAGCAAUUAGGGUAAAGUAUAGCUUAUUAAAAAAAAUGGGGAGGAGGGUUUGGAAGAAGCUGUUAGUUUCCUUUGUUGAAUUCCCUCCUCCCGUUCUACACUAAGUUUCAAACCAUGUUGGUGUGGUGACAUCAUCUCAUGCAUUAUUGCCUGACCCUGCCAGUGGAAGACAGCCAAGAAUGUUGAACGGAGAGUAAAUGGGGAGUGUAGAAUACAACCAGCUGGUUCAGUAAUGCUCUCCAGGGCUUGCUUCAUAAGUUCUGCCUCCAUCAUCCACACCUUGCUGGCUGUGGCCUCCUAUCUCUACACAAAACCAAAGCACCCAGGGAACCUAUUCAAUCCAAAUAAGUUAUUUACUCCUAAGUACGAAGUGCAUGCCACCUCUUCCUCUAGGCAUCCUGGGGAGCCUGACUGAAAUGAAACUUUCAAAAAUGUCGAUUGCACAACCUCCUUUAGUUAGAACCACAAUAUGUAAACACUCUGGCAAAGCAGAAUGCCAGAUACACCAAUGAUCUAAACUAAUCCCCACAGUUCAAACCCCAAAUCCUUUGUUCAAAGGAGGAUAUGCAGCUCUUGGUUUCAGCUUUACAAUCUGUCUGCCCAAGUUUUCUUCUAAUUCCUCAAGAUGCUAGAUAGUUCCAUGACUCCUCUGCGGCCAACUCCAUUCCAAGCAAUGGGACAAUAACAGCAAUUGCUAAACUGGAACACACAUACAUUUCUUCUAAAUAUUAUCUUCUAAAUAUUCUACAGCUUAGUAACCUUCAGCUUUCCAGGACAUAUUUGUUUUCACCUCAGAUUUUUUCUUGGAUGGAGACUCUAUCCUUAUAGAGCUAAGCCAAGCAGUCCAUAUGUGACACAGUAACUUUAUCCCUUUAGUACCUAAUUUGUAAUGUUGAGUGGCAAAGUCUGGAGUAGAACACUAUGGCAGUAGCCAUAGGUUGGGGAGAACUUCCAAGUCAUACUAACACCCUAACUGUUUAUCUAAACUUUAUUUUGAAAAAAAGUUGGAUAGAGCGGGGACCUGAAGGUAUCAAGAGAGAUAUCUGUAGAUACAGGGAUGCACAUUCCAAAAGCUUCAGUUGAAGGGAAAUGAUGAAUGAUAACUCUAUAAUUUUUGCCCAGUGUUUGACAUAGGUCCUUGGAGACGUCACACUUGCUUAAUACACUUGUAAAUGUGUUUGUAGGGUAUGGGGUAGAUGGGAAUGUCUUAUACCUGAUAGUAAAACUCUGAAUCAACUGUAAAUUCUUUUGAAGUAACAACAACCCACCCACCCCCAUGUUGAAAUCUGGUAUGGACAACGGGAAAUAGUUUUCUUCACUGCUUAAUGAAAAGAGGGAUGUCUUUGUUGAAUCAUUCUUUACUAUUGAGUUAAAGUGCUCUCCAUCCAUCACUGAACCUUUAAAAAAUCAAAAUGGCAUGACGUUUGACGUCCCAUUUGUCUGUCCCAAUCCUGCCUCUACUGCUUCAUUUUCAGUUGUUGCAUUCACUAAAUAAAAGUCAAAUGGGUUUUA